GAGCCAGUCUUUGUAAUUAGUAUCAAUCAACCUAUUUAUAUUGAGGAUUCGAGCUAAAGGGUUUGAACUUGAUAGGGUUAUCUGCAAAGAGAAUAGUUUCUAGUUAGAUUUUGUACUUAUAAAAUUGUUUGUUCUAGAAGCUUUAAAAAUAAAUAAAGAUUCUCACUAUUUUUUCAAAUCUCCCACACUCCUCAGGUGGAGAAAUAAAAAUCUAUACGC
rnacentral:lncRNA from 1 species